GAAAAAGCUGUGAGUAGGAAGAAUGUAAAAUGUUCUUUUUUAGAGAGAGUAGGGUUGGUGAAACUACUUAAAGAAUUUUUACAGGGCCAACCUAUUAGCUCUGUGUGAUGAACACAGCGUAUCUCUGCGUUAAAGAGUCCGAGAGGGAGAGCAUUAUUGCACUUCAACUAGGGUGGUACCACAGGAAUUAUCCUGCCCCUAAU
rnacentral:ncRNA from 1 species